GAGAGAGAGAGAGAGAGAGGGAGAGAGAUCUUCAACUGUUUCAAAAUAGGGAGAGAAGCGCAAAAUACUGGGACCAGUUGGGGAAAGAACAGAGAAAGCUAAAUGGCUUUGUUUGGGCAAAAGGAAGAGAAGAGAAGAAAAAAGGGGAUGCUGUGCGUCAUUGAGUACACCCUGCAAACAAGGGACACAGCUUACGAAGGAGCUUUUUGUUUUGUUUUUCUUUACAGUAUUUUCACGAGGAACUUUUCCUUCUCAUCAAUGCUUUUUAUUCUGGCUUUCAGUCCCGCAAAAUAAGGCUCACACUGGGCCCAAUUUAUAAGCAAAUACAGAUGCUGGCUUUUGUGCUUUUUCCCUUUAUUUUUUUACUUUUUCAUGAGUAAGGUUUGUCGGGUGUGGACGAUAGUCAAUUUACUCUUUAUAGCUGCUUGGUCUUGAGCCAGAAAAUGUACUGUCUGCACCUCAAAAAUGGCGAAACCAGAAAUGCCUGAGCUACUAUCUUUUUUUUUUGAAGAGAAAGAAUAAGAUAGUAGCUCAGGCAUUUCUGGU
rnacentral:misc_RNA from 1 species